CACUGCCCGUCGCUACUACCGAUUGGAUGGUUUAGUGAGGGCCUCGGAUCGGCCCCGGCGGGGUCAGCCACAGCCCUGCCGGAGCAUCGAGAAAAUGGUCGAAUUUGACUACCUAGAGGAAGUAAAAGUCGUAACAAGGUUUCUGUAGGUGAACCUGCAGAAG
rnacentral:ncRNA from 1 species